rnacentral:tRNA from 1 species
GUAAUCGUGGCCUAGUGGUGAAGGCAACGGACUAGAAAUCCGUUGCAGUCACA